rnacentral:lncRNA from 1 species
AGUGAGAUAAUAAUUUUGUCAUCACAAAUAUAUCCUUCCAAAAGCCCCAGAAGUUAGACUUAUACAGAAAUAUCCUUCAAAAGUACCUAACGGUCAUCUUCAUUUUCUUUCUUUCCACCAUCACAAAUAAUAUAAGAGAGGUAAAAAAAAAUUAAUUUACCUUAUUCACUAACCAGAAUUAAGUAUUUUAUCUAUGGUUUACUAUAUAUUUCUAACAGGUCUUAACAGUAGAAUUAUAUUUGAAACGUUAUAACUCUUACAAAGAUAUAUAUAUAAAAGUCAAACUUUGUAGAGAUAUAUUUGCUAUUAGAUAAUUUAUAUAGAAUUGUACGCAAUUAAUUCUUUUUUUCUAAUACUUUCUUUCAAAAUCUUACUGUUCUACUUAUGUGCUUAUUCAUUUGCACAAUAAAUUAAAUACUUUUCUCGAAAAAGCAACAUAUAUUUCAAAGGUAAAAAUGUAACGAACUUACCGCCUUACCCGAACUAUAGACUAUUUUGAAUUUGUUACCCAAUUCUUUAACUUAUUUGAAUUGAGUCAGUUAACGGCACUUUGACUUCAAAAUUUGAAUCUGUCGUUUAAUUUUACAUAUUUAAUUAGUAUACUUCAUACAAUUAUUAUAAUUAUAGAUUUAUUAAAAUUAAAAAAAAACUAGCUUGAAUUUUGACAUCAAAGUGCAAUCGACUGACUCAAAUCAUACAAAUUAAAUAGAUUGGACGAUAAAAUUUAAUAUUUGGAAUGUCGGAUAGCAAAUUCAAAAUGGUCCAUAGAUCAAAUAAAAUCUAUAUAUUUUUAAUCACAAUCAGAUUUUCCUUGCGGUAUUUGUCCUAACAGAAUGCAGCAGUUACAUUGCUGAUAUGAUAUUUUCUUGCUGUUCUAAAAUUCACCCAUUCAUCAUAAUUUUUUGGCUAAGUUAUAAAAAAUCUUCUUGUCAAUACUCACUUUGAUACUUUUCCUCUCCGACUUUUAAAAGCCUAUAGUUUACCCUCUUAAAAUUAAAAAAUAUUCAUUUUGGAUUCUUCUGUCAGUGUUCCGUUACGGUUCCGUUUAUAUUUUAUUAUUAUAUAUUUUUUUAUACCCAAAAUACUCUUAGAUCCUACCUUUCAAUCGUGCUGCCUCUCUAUUGGCCAACAUUCUUGGCCGCGCCACCUCGCUCCUUGUCUCCCCCCGCGGCAAGCUUAAGUCCUCCGCCCACGCCCACACCCUCCUCUUCUGCCGUGGCGUAUUGAAGAGGGGGCAAAAGUGGAAUAAGCAGGGGAGCGGGGAGAAGGAGAAGGAGAUGGAGGGGCGAGUGGCAGGUUGUAGGAGGAGCAGGCGGAGGAGGGAGAGGAAAACAGAGUUGAAGGUGGGGUCGAAAAAAUGCGGAGGACGGAGGAGAAGACUGCGAAUGAAAGAGGAUUGGGAAAGAGAGGUAAAAGAAAAGAACAAUUUGGUUAUUUAGACUUACUUUAGUACUAAGAUCUAUCUGACGCUGUUAAAUAAAAUAGAGUUAGAAAAAGAAAACAUAUGGGGAUAUACUUCUGCGUUAUCCGAUAAGACCGUAGAAAAUAUAUUAUAAUCAAUUCAUUAGAAUAUGUGGAACACAAUAGUACAAUAUUACGUACAGAAAUAAAUAUGAUAUUUUUUCAUCGUACUUUUUCACCACACGUAACACAAUUUUUUUGUAAUUUCAAACAAAGUCUUAGUUAUCAUAGUUAGCACCCUAACUAUAUGUGAAUAUUAUUUAAUUUUUUAAAAAAUAAAAUAUAAUUUUUAAAGUU